CCUACGGGAGGCAGCAGUGGGGAAUAUUGCGCAAUGGGCGAAAGCCUGACGCAGCGACGCCGCGUGAGGGAUGAAGGUCUUCGGAUCGUAAACCUCUGUCAGCAGGGAAGAACGGUCACUGUGCUAAUCAGCAGUGAAUUGACGGUACCUGCAAAGGAAGCACCGGCUAACUCCGUGCCAGCAGCCGCGAUAAUACGGAGGGUGCGAGCGUUAAUCGGAAUUACUGGGCGUAAAGCGCUCGUAGGCGGUAUGUCAAGUCAAGGGUGAAAUCCCCGAGCUCAACGUGGGAACUGCCUUUGAAACUGGCAAACUGGAGUGUGUGAGAGGAUAGUGGAAUUCCAGGUGUAGGGGUGAAAUGCGUAGAUAUCUGGAGGAACAUCAGUGGCGAAGGCGACUAUCUGGCACAUAACUGACGCUGAGGAGCGAAAGCGUGGGUAGCAAACAGGAUUAGAUACCCGGGUAGUC
rnacentral:rRNA from 1 species